AUUGAACGCUGGCGGCAUGCCUUACACAUGCAAGUCGAACGGCAGCACGGGAGCAAUCCUGGUGGCGAGUGGCGAACGGGUGAGUAAUGUAUCGGAACGUGCCCAUUCGUGGGGGAUAACGUAGCGAAAGCUACGCUAAUACCGCAUACGAUCUAUGGAUGAAAGCGGGGGAUCGCAAGACCUCGCGCGAUUGGAGCGGCCGAUAUCAGAUUAGGUAGUUGGGGGGGUAAAGGCUCACCAAGCUGACGAUCUGUAGCUGGGCUGAGGGGACGACAAGCCAGACUGGAAGUGGAACGCGGCCCAGACUACUAAGGAAGGCAGGAGUGGGGAAUUUUGGACAAUGGGCGCAAGCCUGGUCCAGCAAUGCCGCGUACAGGAUGGAGGCCUCCGGGUUGUAAACGGCUUUUGUACGGAACGAAACGGCGAGCUCUAAUACAGUUUGCUAAUGACGGUACCGUAAGAAUAAGCACCGGCUAACUACGUGCCAGCAGCCGCCGUAA
rnacentral:rRNA from 1 species